UAUAGGUGCCAUUUUGUUCCACAACCUUUCUGCAUCUUUCACGCAACUUGAAUAAUCCAUCUUUCCAGAAGCUUUCAGAUUUUUUAGCGAUAAACUUUUCAAUAUGAUCUUUCAGAUCGACCAAAUUCCUUAAAAAUCGAAACGAACUUUCCGGGCGAUCCAAUAUAAGCAUUUCAAAUCUCUCAGUAGUUUUAAACACAAGGUAUAACACUAGACAUCUCAAUUUCUUACAUAAUAUUAAACUUGGAUUUACAUUAACUUACAAUUUCACCCUUUCAAAAAGUACACUAUUAAAUAAACCUUUUUUCAAUGUUUAUCGAGAGAUAAUGAAAAAGAGACAGAUUAGAAGCGACCCCAACGUUUGUUUUCGUUUUUUUUUUUUUUUCGAAAAAAAGAUGGACUAGAUUGAAAGGAUUUUAGAGGAGAGUACUCACCGGUGGUGACCACGCUGGGAAGUACCCCAGUCGCGGUGACAGCGGAGGGCGUAUCAGGGGCGACAGUGUCCGCGACCUGCGUUUGCGUCGGUCGUGGAUCGUAGGUCGUCGUGCUGUCGACGUAGUCGGCGCUAAGCUCGUAGUUCGUCAUCGCUUGAUGAUUGUAAUAACCCGACCCACCCGUGCCGGGGCCGGGAGAAGCGUAUUCACUACCGCCAUACGUGUACCUGCGACAGCAAAUUGAAACGAGGAUGAGAACGUGCACUUCCUCUCUCAUCGAAAGCUUCGAG
rnacentral:misc_RNA from 1 species